AUGCCACCCUUCCGUGAAGGGCCCUGAGCGGGGGGUGUAGUAUCUGUUCUAAUUUGAUAUCUGGUAUAUGUGGGCUCUUGGGCCGGCAUGAUAUCAAAUGAUUUUAUUUUGGGAGGGCCGGUCAAGUAGCUUGCUGCUGGAGGUCCUGAGCGUCGACGUUGCGUUUGCACUGCAGCAACGGUGGGCGCACCCCAA